rnacentral:rRNA from 1 species
UACGUGAGGUGACAAGCGUUGUCCGGAUUUACUGGGCGUAAAGAGCGCGCAGGCGGUCGUUCAAGUCGAGUGUGAAAGCCCCGGCUCAACUGGGAGGGUCAUUCGAUACUGAUCGACUCGAAGGCAGGAGAGGGAAGUGGAAUUCCCGGUGUAGUGGUGAAAUGCGUAGAUAUCGGGAGGAACACCAGUGGCGAAGGCGACUUCCUGGCCUGUUCUUGACGCUGAGGCGCGAAAGCUAGGGGAGCAAACGGGGAUUAAGAAACCCC